CAUAUAUAAAAUUUCGGCAGCAUCCCCUUUGCAAGAUUGCAUAAAAGAGGGAGCAAUAGAGUAUAAACAUAUAUCAUGACUAAAACAUACUAUGUAUUAUUACUCGGCCAGCAAGGAAAGAUAAACAUACGACUUGAACUGAAUUAACCAGUGCGCACGACCAUAUAAAAAAAAUAAACAAACUUCCUUUGACAAUAAGUUUCUAAUUAAAUCAUGGCUGCGCCUGGGCAACGUUAUUGUGAGAGUGAAAGUGGACGUGCUGCUACUCCCCUCAUUCCCAACAUGUAUCAAGUACCUGCAUUGAGUAAUGCAAGAGUGAGAUGACACAUCUCAGCAAGUAAAAUAAUAUCAAACAGUUUAACCACAUAAGAACAUUGUUUUACCACCACUUGAUUCCACAACCUUCUUAUUACGAAGGUGCAGCACGUAUACAACGUACAACGCACCUAGUUACCACACCUCGCAGGUAGAAACCACAAUAGUAACAUAGUAAUGUCACACUUCAUAUAUUUCCUCAUGAGUGCAAAUGUCUGCAAAUGCAAGGAUGACUUCUGCCUUCAUACCUCUAAGGAUAUGAAGCCGCAUCGUACCCCUCCUCGGGCAACGUACGAUGCUAAAAAUGUACCGGUACGGUCGGACCAUAAGAUCACGACAUAACUUCAAAAUGCAAGAUGGAUGAUGCGAUGUGCAUGUCAUGCCUACAACACUACAUAUAACAUGAUUCAAAAAGACACUUCAACUUCAUCCAGAUGGGAAUCAACCACAUAUAUCAUUACCAAAUUACGAUCAUCCACAAUAUUAGACAAUUGAGAAUUAAUACUUCCAAACAAAUAAACUUCAUCAUAGAAUUCAAUGAUUAACAUAAUUAAAACUUAUGCAUACUCAAUGACAGGGAAUAGGAUGCAAACCAAACGGUAGCAACCACCACUGUAUUUACUUGCCUUUAUCGGAAGUUCGGGCAAAUCCCUAAGUACGAUCCGGAAGUCCACCACCUGUUUUUGACACCCAACUUAGUACACCAAUUUCACAUAAUCAGGCCCAUAAGCGACGCCGCACCUACGCACAACUCAAACCCCGCCGCGGGUUACAUCUCUCCCUACACCCACCAAACUGCAGCGGCGCUGCUUAAUAAUUUCAUAACUUUAAAAUUAUGACAGCAGUGGUAACAAACAAAAACUCCAGAGGCAUCUACAUAAAAUUCCCCACAAGUUUUGUAUACAAUUUAUAAUUAAAUUCCAAUAUCUAAUUAGCCCAAAACAGUCCACAAGAUGAACCCUGUAAUCUGUUUUUCUUUGUCUUUUGGACAGCGACAUACCCAGAUUCAAACAGCGAUAUCUUUUAAAAUAUAAUUCCAAAUCAAGCGCAUAAGUACUUGUUGGAAAGAUAACAUAAAGCCCUACAUGAUUCUCAUACUGAUUAACACUAAUUACUCCCGAAAAAUCCCCAGAAACUGCUAAUACUGCUGCUGUUCAUCCCCCUGAAAAUCUGUUUUUUGGACAGCCACAUACCCGGAUUCAAACGGUGAUAACUUUCAAUUUAUAACUCCAAAUUGAGCGCAUAAAUACUCGUUGGAAAGGUAAGGUAAAGUUCUACAUGAUCCCCAAACUGAUUUCCCUUAAUUCCUCACGAAAAAAACACAGAAACUGCUAGACUACUGCUGUUCACCCACCACCUAAAAUUCUGGACAGCCCCCUCUACCCAAUCGCAAACGCAACCUCUAAUCAAUUAAAUUGCAGCGCAAAUGAACAAGGGAUGAAUACAAAAAUAACCUUGGAUUCUCCCCCUUUCCUUCCUCCCUUCUUCCCUCCACCAAAACGAUUGAAGACUCGCACCACGACGACGAUGAUCCGAGCGGCAAGGAUUGGCACCUUGGGAGGAGGGGAUUGAGGGGGGGGGCUAGGGUUUGGUGGCUGCAAGAAUGGAGAGAGGAGGAGAUGGACAGGGGGGCGGCGGCCAAGGGGGGAGAGAAG
rnacentral:lncRNA from 1 species